CCCAGCUCCACAUCUUCCUCCAGCUCUUAUAUUCUUCCCGCCCUUCUUCAGUGAGGGUCCAUGAGCCUUGGAGGGAGCAACAUAGAUAUCUAUUUCCCUUAAAUUCCAGCGAAGCACUGAACUCUUACACCCUCUCAUCAUUCCUGCAGGACACAGCUGCUGACAAGUCUUCGUGGUAUUUCUCUUACUACAAAACACAAGAGGAAAUGAAUGAAAAACAGGAAACAGAAGAGUACCAAAGAGGAUACAGGGCUCAGCACUAACUAUGAUUGUAGCCUGUGACUCGCAACUUCAGUCAGCUCCACUGAGUCAGCACAGCAGGGAAGGGGGCAUGUACAGAGCCCCAUGGGAGUGCUCCAGGGUGAUGCAACCAGGCUCCUCUGGCUCCAGGCCAUCGCGGACAGUGGCAGAAGGUGAGGAGGUGGUAGAAGUCACCAGAACGAUGGCAAGCCUCGAGCUGAAAGGCAGAGGGAGAUACUGACCAUAUCCUCAGAAGUCAAGUCUGCCACCUAGGGCCAAGUUAAGGCCCUUUGCAGCAAUGGAGAAGAUACCCUAUAAAACACAGAGAGAUCUAUGUCGCCUGAGAAUCUCUCUCUGGUGAUGCUAGCUGCUUUGGCCUGUGCAUCUUCAGUGAGUGCUUCUGAAUAUGUGCUGUGUUCCCAUCCUCCUUUUCUUUAACUCAUGGGUUGGAUGGAUCCAGCCCCUGUGAAUCUUUACUAAUGACUCUGUGUUUAUGACUGGACCUGGAGACUAAUAAACUCAUUCAUUCAUCUGAAGAAGGGACUGCAUUUAAUUUUUCCUUGGGAUUUAAAUUACUUCCUAUUUGCAUAGGACAUGAUAAGAGCUGUGUUCCUAUAAAAGCCAAAUAUGAGCUUACUUAUUAUUCAUUACAACUGGAUAAUAUUAUUGGUUAACAUGCCUCUAUGAAAAGCGUGAUUUUUGCCAUGUGUGGCUUGUCCUUCUGAUUAUAUACAGCUUGAAGCCAUGAAUCACUCAGAUGGUUUUCCUUGACCUUUGGAAUAUAAAUUACCUGAUGCCCUGAAUAAAGUUGGCUAUUGUGAGAGACUGUGGUGCCUCAUUUUUUUAGGCUUUAUUCUCCCAAUUUCCACUGCCAUUCUAGGGUGGUAAACAGAUAUCCCACACCUAUGUAUUUGUAG
rnacentral:lncRNA from 1 species